GACGAACGCUGGCGGCGUGCUUAACACAUGCAAGUCGAACGGAAAGGCUCCAGCUUGCUGGAGUACUCGAGUGGCGAACGGGUGAGUAACACGUGGGUGAUCUGCCCUGCACUUCGGGAUAAGCCUGGGAAACUGGGUUUAAUACCGGAUAGGACCGCACUUUGGUGUGUGUGGUGGAAAGGUUUUUCUGGUGUGGGAUGAGCUCGCGGCCUAUCAGUUUGUUGGUGGGGUAAUGGCCUACCAAGACGGCGACGGGUAGCCGGCCUGAGAGGGUGGACGGUCACAUUGGGACUGAGAUACGGCCCAGACUCCUACGGGAGGCAGCAGUGGGGAAUAUUGCACAAUGGGGGAAACCCUGAUGCAGCGACGCCGCGUGGGGGAUGAAGGCCUUCGGGUUGUAAACUCCUUUCGCUAGGGACGAAGCUUUUUGUGACGGUACCUGGAGAAGAAGCACCGGCUAACUACGUG
rnacentral:rRNA from 1 species